AAAAUGCGAUAAGUAGUGUGAAUUGCAGAAUUUAGUGAAUCAUCGAAUCUUUAAACGCACAUUGCGCCCCUUAGUAUUCUAUGGGGCAUGCCUGUUCGAGCGUUAUUGACACCCUCAAGCUCUGCUUGGUGUUGGGCCGUUUGUCGUUUCCUCGCCCCCCAGCGACACAGCGACACCCCUCAAAGUCAUUAGCGGCCUUUCUGCCUAGCUUCUCGCGCAGCAGUUUCGCGCUUAGGAGACUACUUAGCAGGCUAGCAUCCAUUAAGCUAACCCCCUUCACGCUUAACCUCAGAUCAGGUAGGGAUACCCGCUGAACUUAA
rnacentral:misc_RNA from 1 species